rnacentral:sRNA from 1 species
GCCAGAGAUGCCUGCCCACAGCCUGGUGAUGAGCAGCCCGGCCCUCCCGGCCUUCCUGCUCUGCAGCACGCUGCUGGUCAUCAAGAUGUACGUGGUGGCCAUCAUCACGGGCCAAGUGAGGCUGCGGAAGAAGAGUCUGGCUCUGUUGCCCAGGCUGGUGUGCAGUGGCAAGAUCACGGCUCACUGUAGCCUCGACCUCCCGGGCUCAAGCAAUCCUCCUGCCUCAGCCGCCCUGCCAAGUAGCUGGGACCACAGGCCUUUGCCAACCCCGAGGAUGCCCUGAGACACGGAGGCCCCCAGUAUUGCAGGAGCGACCCUGACGUGGAACGCUGCCUCAGGGCCCACCGGAACGACAUGGAGACCAUCUACCCCUUCCUUUUCCUGGGCUUCGUCUACUCCUUUCUGGGUCCUAACCCUUUUGUCGCCUGGAUGCACUUCCUGGUCUUCCUCCUGGGCCGUGUGGUACACACCGUGGCCUACCUGGGGAAGCUGCGGGCACCCAUCCGCUCCGUGACCUACACCCUGGCCCAGCUCCCCUGCGCCUCCAUGGCUCUGCAGAUCCUCUGGGAAGCGGCCUGCCACCUGUGACCAGCAGCUGAUGCCUCCUUGGCCACCAGACCAUGGGCCAAGAGCCGCCGUGGCUAUACCUGGGGACUUGAUGUUCCUUCCAGAUUGUGGUGGGCCCUGAGUCCUGGUUUCCUGGCAGCCUGCUGCGCGUGUGGGUCUCUGGGCACAGUGGGCCUGUGUGUGUGCCCGUGUGUGUGUGUAUGUGUAUGUGUGUGUGUAUGUUUCUUAGCCCCUUGGAUUCCUGCACGAAGUGGCUGAUGGGAACCAUUUCAAGACAGAUUGUGAAGACUGAUAGAAAAUCCUUCAGCUAAAGUAACAGAGCAUCAAAAACAUCACUCCCUCUCCCUCCCUAACAGUGAAAAGAGAGAAGGGAGACUCUAUUUAAGAUUCCCAAACCUAAUGAUCAUCUGAAUCCCGGGCUAAGAAUGCAGACUUUUCAGACUCACCCCAGAAAUUCUGGCCCAGCCAAUCUAGAGGCAAGCCUGGCCAUCUGUAUUUUUUUUUUUCCAAGACAGAGUCUUGCUCUGUUGCCCAAGCUGGAGUGAAGUGGUACAAUCUGGCUCACUGCAGCCUCCGCCUCCCGGGUUCAAGCGAUUCUUCCGCCUCAGCCUCCUGAGUAGCUGGGAUUACAGGCGCGUAUCACCAUACCCGGCUAAUUUUUGUAUUUUUAGUAGAGACAGGGGUUCACCAUGUUGCCCAGGAGGGUCUCGAACUCCUGGCCUCAAGUGAUCCACCGGCCUCGGCCUCCCAAAGUGCUGGGAUGACAGGCAUGAAUCACUGUGCUCAGCCACCAUCUGGAGUUUUAAAAGGCUCCCAUGUGAGUCCCUGUGAUGGCCAGGCCAGGGGACCCCUGCCAGUUCUCUGUGGAAGCAAGGCUGGGGUCUUGGGUUCCUGUAUGGUGGAAGCUGGGUGAGCCAAGGACAGGGCUGGCUCCUCUGCCCCCGCUGACGCUUCCCUUGCCAUUGGCUUUGGAUGUCUUUGCUGCAGUCUUCUCUCUGGCUCAGGUGUGGGUGGGAGGGGCCCACAGGAAGCUCAGCCUUCUCCCAAGGUUUGAGUCCCUCCAAAGGGCUGUGGGUGGAGGACCGGGAGCUUUGGGUGACCAGCCACUCAAAGGAACUUUCUGGUCCCUUCAGUAUCUUCAAGGUUUGGAAACUGCAAAUGUCCCCUUGAUGGGGAAUCCGUGUGUGUGUGUGUGUGUGUGUGUGUGUGUGUGUGUGUGUGUGUGUUUUCUCCUAGACCCGUGACCUGAGAUGUGUGAUUUUUAGUCAUUAAAUGGAAGUGUCUGCCAGCUGGGCCCAGCACCUCG